rnacentral:rRNA from 1 species
AGGCUAAGGGCACGUCUGCCUGGGUGUCACGUAUUGUGUUGCCCCCAUACUUGAAUGAAUGGGGAGCGAAGCUUGGCCUCCCGUGGUUUCAUAUUCGCGGAUGGCUUAAAAUUGAGCCUCGAGACGGCGAUACGUCACGACAAGUGGUGGUUAUAAGGCUUUUGUCCUUUGAUUAUUCAUGUCGUGUCUGUCGCAUCUCAUCACUCAAACGGAAACCCAAACGGAACGUCCUUGANCGUGCCAGC